AUUGAACGCUGGCGGCAGGCCUAACACAUGCAAGUCGAACGAGUGGCGGACGGGUGAGUAAUGUAUGGGAAACUGCCCGAUGGAGGGGGAUAAAUACUGGAAACGGUAGCUAAUACCGCAUACCAUCAGAUGUGCCGAGAUGGGAUUAGCUAGUGGGUGGGGUAACGCCUCACCAAGGCGACGAUCCCUAGCAGGUCUGAGAGGAUGCACAGCCACACUGUAACUGAGACACGGUCCAGACUCCUACGGGAGGCAGCAGUGGGGAAUAUUGCACAAUGGGCGCAAGCCUGAUGCAGCCAUGCCGCGUGUAUGAAGAAGGCCUUCGGGUUGUAAAGUACUUUCAGCGAGGAGGCGUUACUCGCAGAAGAAGCACCGGCUAACUCCGUGCCAGCAGCCGCGGUAAUUC
rnacentral:rRNA from 1 species